GGCAUUUCAGAGACUCGAAAUUUAAAAAUUUCCUCGGCCCUCCGGCCCUCGCUUUCUGCCCCCAAUAAACAAAAGCUCCCUACCGCACUGCUUCUGUAAUAUGUCUGUGCGUAAAAUAUGCAUAUUUUGGUUUGUAAAUUGCGUCUUCAUUUUCCGAAUAGCAAUUAACACGUCAUUCGGAAAUUUUUGGCCUACACCCCCCAACUAUACAUGCUAGCUACGGCCCUGGAUACAGACUUGCCGACUGGAACUUCUCCAGGUCCCCCCGCUAAUUAUGUCCUCUCCAGUUACACAUCCUUAAAAAAGGCCCUGAACCAAAUGUUAUACCUCAUAGCAAUAUGUAUUAUUAAGAGCAAUGCAUGAAGCUAGAAAACUCAAC